CUAAAUGAGCUGAGGCUGGCUUGAUGGUUUCCUUCCUUCCUCUCAACAAACAUAUAUCUACUGUGCAUUAACCUCUGGUGUGGGAUAUAACAACGGAAGUAAAGAUGUCCACACUGGAGUAAUGUGUGCCGCCUGGAAGGUGGAAGAUGGAGAGCACUUUCUGGCUUAGAGUAGGCACUCAAGAGGACUUUAUACCUAUGAAGAAUGUGACACUGUCAGCUGCCCACUCUGUGGGAACUGCAAGGGAAACGCCACACAAGGAUAUAAUGCAUCUGCUCCUGUUCAUGUCACCAUCUGCCUUCCCUAACUUUGAAGUCUGUUGGGAACUUACAGCCUGUGGGAAUGUGAAGCUUCUUUCUACUGAUGUGUAACCCACCUGCACUGCGGUACAUGACUUGAUGGCUAGCUGUCAACCCAAUCAGUAUCAAUCUAUCAUCUGCCCAUUCACUUACUUGCAUGAUAAAUAUUUGCUAAGUUCCUAGCAUGUGCCAACUACUGAGUUAACUCCAUAUUGUACUGGGGAGAGUAGAAAAAACUUUAAAAAUCAAAACAGUCUUCAUCAUUUUGAAGUUUACCAUCUACUUGGGAGAUAGAUAUGCAAACAAGGACCACGAUGUGGAGUGAGUUAUAACAGAGGCAUUUGGGGAACACAGAAGGUUCAUGCUACAGAGGAACAUCAGGGCAGGCUUCAGAGAAGAGCUGAAGUUUUGACAGAGUCCUAAAGGAUGUGCAGGAAUCUUCUAAGCAGAGAUUGGAAAGGAGUAGGAAGACAGCAUUCUAGGCAAAAGGAACAGAUUGGGUAAAGACCGUACAAAAUGGCACAGCUCACUAGGAAUGCUUAAGGGGUGAAACAUCAGUGAAUACAGGAGAGAGAUGGGACUUAGGGCUACGGCAUGCUAAAAAAUACAGAAAUAAAUGCAAGGCUUUUAUGCCAGGAAGUGACAUCAUCAGCUAUUUCUGUUCUAGCAAGUGCACUCUUGUGCAAUGUGGAGGAGGGACUGACUGGAGGCAGGGAGGUAAAUGCAGGGAUGAACUUAUGCAUGGGCAGAUGGAGAGGAGGGGGUGGAUCUGAGAGUUGCAAGGGCAGCAGAAUGAACAGAGCCUGGGGAGCUGCAAAGGAGCAAGAAUGAAGGCUGCCUCCGGGGUUAGGGACUUGGAGAAGAAAGAAAAUAGUGUCAUGUCUCUGGCUGGGAAGUCAUGAGAAGAAGGUAGUUCGGGGCAGAGGAAGGCAGGUGGGAUGAUGAGUUCAAUGAGAUCGUGAGUGCAAAAACUGAACUCAUCAUCCCACCUGCCUUCCUCUGGCCCGAACUACCUUCUUCUCAUGACUUCCCAGCCAAAAAAGCUCAACAUUCAGAAAACUAAGAUAUGGCAUCCAGUCCCAUCACUUCAUGGCAAAUAGAUGGGGAAACAAUGGAAACAGUGGCUGACUUUAU